rnacentral:rRNA from 1 species
AGAGUUUGAUCAUGGCUCAGGAUGAACGCUAGCUACAGGCUUAACACAUGCAAGUCGAGGGGCAGCAUGGUCUUAGCUUGCUAAGACUGAUGGCGACCGGCGCACGGGUGAGUAACACGUAUCCAACCUGCCGUCUACUCUUGGACAGCCUUCUGAAAGGAAGAUUAAUACAAGAUGGCAUCAUGAGUCCGCAUGUUCACAUGAUUAAAGGUAUUCCGGUAGACGAUGGGGAUGCGUUCCAUUAGAUAGUAGGCGGGGUAACGCCCACCUAGUCUUCGAUGGAUAGGGGUUCUGAGAGGAAGGUCCCCCANAUUGGAACUGAGGCACGGUCCAAACUCUACGGGAGGCA